UGCUAGAAGAUGUUGUAGAUGAUGCUUGUUUGGAAGGAGAAGAUUGACGACUCAAUGACAAUGACUUUGCAGGAGAUUUUGAUGUGAUUGAUGUUGCCUUGACAACUGGCUUUGAUUACCUUUCUUUAAAACCUGUCAUGGCUUGCUCACCAAUCCUUGAAUGCAGUGCUGACAGACUCUAAACAAAAUUAGAAGAACAGAGAAAUCUGAUGAGUUAAUAGUAGAUGAUGUUGSAGGUGCUGGUGGGGGUUGUGCAGUACAACUACUCCCAAAAGGAGUACCAGAGGUGGCUCCCGAUGGAACCAGUGGGGGAGGGGGUAUAGACGGUUUUGGUAUAUUUGCUUCAGUUUGUUGUUUCAUUAAAUGCCGCUGCUGUAUUUUCAACAUUUCUGGGUUUUCUAUGAUAGAUGAUGCAAACUUUGUUUUAUUACUGCUGAUGCUGAUUCCAUACACUUGCUUGUGGAACUUUUCCUGCAUGGCAACAGUUUCAAAUCAUUAAUUUACAUGAAUGGAAAGGUUUAUGGUUAUAAGGGAACUCUGAGUACCACUAAUACUACAUGUUACACAAAUGAACUUAUUGAUUGAGUCGGAGGUUCAUAUGGGAAAAUACAUAGCUCAAUGUCAUGCUAGAUGUGCUCGGACAGUAUAAAUUAGGGAGAGCCAAAUAUUUUCUCCUUUGAAACUUUUUCUUUGCCUGAGGGAUU